rnacentral:rRNA from 1 species
CGUCUCAGUUCGGAUUGUAGUCUGCAACUCGACUACAUGAAGCUGGAAUCGCUAGUAAUCGCGAAUCAGAAUGUCGCGGUGAAUACGUUCCCGGGUCUUGUACACACCGCCCGUCACACCAUGGGAGUCAGUAACGCCCGAAGCCGGUGACCUAACCGAAAGGGAGGAGCCGUCGAAGGUGGGACCGAUAACUGGGGUGAAGUCGUAACAAGGUAAC